rnacentral:lncRNA from 1 species
AAUCCUGCCCUACUUUUCUGAAGUUUUCCUCAUUCUUUUUCAGUCUAUUCACCCUUGACUCUGCUCAUCAGUAAGGAAUGACCAAAGACGUGGAGGGGAAUGAGUCCCCCCAUGGACCAGCUUUAUCAGAAGUGGAAAUAUGUGUUUAUAAGGUGCCCAAAGGGUUUUUCAGGUAAUAUGGAGAAAAUAAAUGUGAAGCACACUGCCAACUGCAAUGUCCAUGCAGAUCCCUCAACCACAUGGAUGCAGCAGAACGUAAUCAAUAAUCGUGUUGGGAUAAUAUGAGUUGUCAUCUAGACAACUGCUGAUGGAACCAGGAAGGAAUGUUUUACCUGAGCUGGACCACAGUUCCUCCUCUGAGAAUCAGGAAACGGAACUAAGAGACUGUCAGCUCAAUCUGACUUGACAACUUGAAAACAGGAGAGAAGUGAGUGGCUUUGCCAUCACAUGGACAAAGAAGUGAUGAGGCUCAGGUCUGAACCGCAGCAGACAUGCCGGGUACCACUGAAAUAAGACUAGGACACAAAUACCCCCAUACCAAUCCUGGUCCGAGGUCCAAGUAGUCCGGAGGCAUCUGUCCUCUUGGAUUUUCCCAGUAAAGUUUCCAUUCUUUGUUUCUGAUGGCUCUAACUGGUUUUUUGUUGACUUGGAUAAAAAUAAAU